rnacentral:RNase_P_RNA from 1 species
GUGGUGUGCGGGUGGCUUACGGUCUUCGGACCGAGGAAGCUCCCUCCACGCAGAGCAUGCAGGGGCUCAAGGCCCCAUUCGGAAAAGAAACGCUAGCACAAGUGUACACAAGCGAUGACACGACGAGCGUGCAUAUGUGCUUGAAACGGCCGAUGCGCAUGCAGUGAGCGUGCAAGGCAAUCGCCGCUUAGUCGAAUGCCACCUAAAACAGAAGAGGGGCUACGGCACACCAC